rnacentral:rRNA from 1 species
UACGUAGGGUGCGAGCGUUGUCCGGAAUUAUUGGGCGUAAAGGGCUCGUAGGCGGUUUGUCGCGUCGGGAGUGAAAACUCAGGGCUUAACCCUGAGCCUGCUUCCGAUACGGGCAGACUAGAGGUAUGCAGGGGAGAACGGAAUUCCUGGUGUAGCGGUGAAAUGCGCAGAUAUCAGGAGGAACACCGGUAGCGAAGGCGGUUCUCUGGGCAUUACCUGACGCUGAGGAGCGAAAGUGUGGGGAGCGAACAGG